CCUACGGGUGGCAGCAGUGGGGAAUAUUGGGCAAUGGAGGCAACUCUGAUCCAGCAAUGCCGCGUGAAUGAAGAAGGCCUUAGGGUUGUAAACUUAUGUUGUAAAGGAAGAAAAGAAUGACGGUACUAUACAAGAAAGCUCCGGCUAACUAGGUGCCAGCAGCCGCGGUAAGACAUAGGGGGCAAGCGUGAUUCGGAAUUACUGGGCGUAAAGGGAGCGUAGGCGGGUGAUGAAGUGAAGAGUGAAAGCCUUGGGCUCAACCCAAGAAAUGCACUUCAUACUGGUUUUCUAGCGUGUGGGAGAGGUAAGUAGAAUUCCUAGUGUAGCGGUAGAAUGCGUAGAGAUUAGGAGGAACACCAGAGGCGAAGGCGGCUUCCUGGACCAUGACUGACGCUGAGGCUCGAAAGCGUGGGGAGCAAACAGGAUUAGAUACCCGUGUAGUC
rnacentral:rRNA from 1 species